AUUGAACGCUGGCGGCAUGCCUUACACAUGCAAGUCGAACGGCAGCACGGGAGCAAUCCUGGUGGCGAGUGGCGAACGGGUGAGUAAAGUAUCGGAACGUGCCCAGUCGUGGGGGAUAACGUAGCGAAAGUUACGCUAAUACCGCAUACGAUCUAUGGAUGAAAGCGGGGGAUCGCAAGACCUCGCGCGAUUGGAGCGGCCGAUAUCAGAUUAGGUAGUUGGUGGGGUAAAGGCUCACCAAGCCGACGAUCUGUAGCUGGUCUGAGAGGACGACCAGCCACACUGGGACUGAGACACGGCCAAGACUCCUACGGGAGGCAGCAGUGGGGAAUUUUGGACAAUGGGCGAAAGCCUGAUCCAGCCAUGCCGCGUGCAGGAUGAAGGCCUUCGGGUUGUAAACUGCUUUUGUACGGAACGAAAGGGUUUGGGCUAAUAAGCUGAGCUCAUGACGGUACCGUAAGAAUAAGCACCGGCUAACUACGUGCCAGCAGCCGCAGUAAAAC
rnacentral:rRNA from 1 species